AAGUGUUGUACAAAUUUGUUGUCAAUACAAAUUUUCUUGGCUUCAAUUUAUGGCAAGUUGAGCUCCUUCAACAAUCUUCUCAGCUGAAUAACAGGACAUAUACGAGAUGUUGAUGCCACAAAUUCAAGUUUACAAAUUGAGAGAGUAACAAUAGAUGUUUCUUUGAGCUCCAAGAAAUAAUACAAUUAUCCAAGAAAACACAAAUACGAUGGUGCUUUUUCUAUCAUCAAUAUCUCCUACAAAAUCACAACCGCAAAAUCCUACAAAGUUACUAGAAGAAGAAGAAAAUAGCCCAGAGUCAAUCAUACUUUUUAGGUAAUGAAAAGUUCUUCUAAAAACUUGUUGCGACCAAACGCACACGCAAGCAUGCGCGGUGAUCAAGUAAUAAAGUGACUAAAAGUCGGAUGUCGAUUCUACGAGGAUUUGUGAUUAACUAUCAACUAAAUUAGACUAUUCUAAUUAUCAAUAAAAGAAUUAAACCAAGAAGUAUUUGAUUCUAAACUAAUGAAAAUAGAUAAAAAUAAAUAAUGAAUUAUGGACAGAGAAAGAACAGAUUUUUAUGAUAUCAAUGCAAUGAAAACGAUCUAGGGUUAUGGGCUAUCUAACAAUCUUAUUGUAUUCUUCAAUCGAAUUGACUAACUAAAUUUAUCUAGUUUAUCGGUUGACAGGGUUAAUAUUGCUCAUAAGAAUCUGUCGAGUUAUUACUUGCAUAUUAAAGAUAUCCUAAUGCCUAUAUGUCUAUGGAGUUAGAAUCAACAAGAAUGCAUUUAUAAUUCUUGUAAAUCAACCAAGCAAGGCAAUUAGGUAUAUGUCUAUCCCAAUUGCUAAUUCGUUCCCCAAGACCCAGGUUCAAGAACUUGCGCUAUUCAAUCCUAUAUGCAAUCUAGAAUUCUCACUUUCGAGUUCAACUCUAGAUUCGUAGAUAGUAUUCAAUUGGUGAUCAAGCAAUCAAAUAAUUAAGUGCAUGAUUGAAUAAAUAAAGCAAUAUGAUAAACCAAGAAAUUAAAAUUAAUAUUCGAAUAACAAUAGUCAUGAAAGAAUCAAAACCCUAGAACGCGAAGUUUAGCUACACAUAGACAUGGUUGAAAAACAACAAAUCAUACAAUGAAACAUAAAGAUUGCUAAGUUUGAGGAAGAAAAGAUGAAAUCCGACCUACACGGCGGCUCUGUGCUUGUGUUUUCCUUGGUCCAAAAUUCAUCUAAAAAACGUUCUCCUAUGUAUAUAUACAAAGUAGAGUUGGUCCCAAACAACUGUACCUUCUCCAAUGUGAAAAAGGAAACUUUUCCCGUGUCAGAGGCGCGACUUCGCGCGAUCUUCGCGCACCUUUCUGCCUCCAACUCCUUAAACCGCGCGACUUCGUGCAUAUUUUGGGCGUACUUCGCGUGCUAGUUUUCACCCUGUUUGGAAAAAUACAAAACAUAAAAGUUGUAGCUCUUUGAGUUAGCUUUCCAACCAUAUAAUUUGGAGCCCAAUUGGAGAUCUGAGCAAAGAGUUAUAUUUUUACAAGACAGUGCGCAAUCUUCUUACUGGAUUCUUCGUUCUCUCUAACUAUCAUCCGUUGACCCUCAAACACAAUCGCGGCUUAAUUCCUUGAGCUUUUACUCAGAUUUCAAGCUACAAAUUACUUGAAUUCAUUCCAUAACAUCUAUAUAGCUCGAAAUCAUUCAUACAAGGCAUAAAAUACACAUAGUUUAAGACACUAGCAAUUAAAGCUCAAACUCAAUCAAAGUGCAGUAAAUUUGAAUGUAAUAAGUGACUAAAAUACACAAUUAUAGCCUCGUCAUCGAACAAUCAAAAUACACUUUUUAUAGGCACAACUUUUUUAUACAAUUCUCCUAACUCAUCACACCAAGAUUAUUUAAAAUAUACUAAGCACAAAAGUGUAACAUCUUCACCUAAAGAUUUGACUCAUAAGUACCACGCGUUAUUCGCAACUCACCCUCUUACUCUAACAUAGAGGUCAGUGAAAUUACCUUUCCUUCACGAAUCAAGUGCCCUUACACAACAAACGAGAGUAGCUCCAAGUACCACGCAUUAUUCGCAACUCUCCCACUUACUCUAAUAUAGAGGUCACUGAAAUUACCUUUCCUUCAUGAAUCAAGUGCCCUUACACAACAAAAGAGAGUAACUCCACAUAAUAAAAUUUAAGAACACUUAGGAAGUCAAGAUAGAAAGAAUUCACUCACUCUCACAACUAACAUUCAUAUGCCACAAAAGAUGUACCAUAAGCUUACCCAUAGUGUACUACUUCACUAAUCGAGCUCAUUCAAUCUAGGAUCAAGCAGGACUUUAUUUGGUUGUAAUGUAGGCUACGAGAUAGGUAGGAUACGUUUAGAUAUAAGACUGACUACACCUCCCUAAGCACUUUAAUACAUACAUUUUAAUAUUUAAAUCGCAUACUUAUGUCGAACCAAAACUCCACCUUCACAUCAAUGUAAAUUACCUCAUUUUACUUUAAGCACACUUACAUCAAGAGCCACCACUUAUCAUUUUGUACAAUAAUCCAACUAUUUUUUUCAAUUCAAGUGACUCACUUUUUCAAAACAGUGCACUUUUCUCCUUAUUCAAUUAGUUUCACUCAAAAACCAAACCAACCACCCCACACUUUAACUUUUACAAAGUUCAUAACCAUUCAUGUACUCAAGAGAGGUGAAAAGGUUCAAAUAGGUGGUUAAUUCAAACAAAUGGGUAAGGCUUGUAAUGUGGUUUCCAAAGAAAAAGGAUUAUAGGCUCAAAGAGGUUAACUACAACACAUAAUGAUUAGGCAAGUAACAUAUACAUAUCUGGCUCAAUAAAGAAACGCCAAUAUCACUUCCAAGACUGAACAAAACUACCAUUUCGCUUUACAAACAUAUACAUAACAAUUAGGCGGGUAACAUAUACAUAUCUGGCUCAACAAAGAAAUGCCUAUAUCACUUCCAAGACUGAACAAAAUUACUAUUUCGCUUUGCAAACACACAGGGCAAGUUCUAGACAUCAGAUGCAAUGAACAGAAUAACACAAAACCUUACACACACCUGACACAUAACUCACUCAGAAUUUGACUCAUCAUGACACUCUAGUCAAAGAAGUUAAGCAAAAAUAAGAUCAUACAAUUUAAGGUACUUAUAUAAGAGUCAAACACUAAGUUGAAGCAUUAUAACUAAAGUACUCACUAUUCUCAAGGCGUAACAAUUCAAGAGAUAUUGCUUCAAUCAAUUCACAUCGCCAUGGCUUCUUUCCUAAUAAAAUUAUCUACAUCCGGUUCAAACAAAAUCCUUGGAAAAGAACCGCGACACAACGAAAAACCAAGGGGGAAUGGCUACACUACCUACAAAGAAAAUCUUUUUGUCCUUUUUAUUUAGACUUAAGUCCCUCAAGAAGACUUUCUAGGAGAUCCAUCGUCGGGAAAAGUCCAUUUUUUGUAUAUUUGUUCUAAAAAAAUUAAAAAUUAUUCAAUUACACUAGCACAACUUAAUAGCAUAGAAAGUCACUAAGACAAUCUCCUCGCCCCACACUUAAAAUUGUGGAAUGUCCUCAAUGCACACUAUAAAUAAUAAAAGGGUAAAAAAUACUCACUGUUGGCCAAAGGCUGAAGAAUUAGCAGCUCCCGGGAUACUCAGACUUCUCCCAGGUAUGAUUCUUUGUGUGGGUACCCCACACUUAGUUCAACCACUAGCUCACUUUUGCAUAUCUCCUAUUGGCUUUGCUCCCUAUGCUCAAAAUCCUACAAAAAAUGCUACAAAGGUAGAAAAAUAAAAUAAACAAAAAUAAAUAAAAAAGUAAAAGAAAGCAGUAAAGCUGAGUUGCCUCCCAACAAGUGUUUAAUUUAAAGUCGCGGCACGACUUGAACAAAUUUUUGUCUCCACCUUGAACUUAUGAAUUGUACCCCGAACAUGGCAUCCAUUCUGUGGCUAUGCACUGUUGGUGGGGCUACAAAGAUAACCAGGUCAAGUAAUAAAUUUUUCACUCUGCACUUCUCGGCCUUUAGAUGAGGAAUGUAAUUUUUUCUUUUUUGGCACAACAAAUUCAAGAAUAUAGGUGCUCUCAUCCUCAGUCUUUGACCCCUUCAUGGCUCAGAUGGCUCGAUUACUAUCUUACUAUCUAAAUAUAAUGUGGAAAAAUAAUUGGAAUGAGGUCUAAUGUACUCUAACUCAUGAAUUUUACUACUAUUUGCAUCCUCAUAUUUACACGCACUAAAGUCUCCCAAAGUAAUGUUAUCUACUCCCUCACAUGACUCUAGAGCACUCUUCUCAAUAUUGUUAUUAUUAUUUGCAUUCCCAUAUUUACACACACUCAAAUCUCCCAAAGUAAUAUUAUCUACUCCCUUAUAUGACUUUAAAGCACUCUUCUCAAUAUUGGCAUCCUCAAAAAAAUAUGGUCUAAUGAUUGGUAUUCUCAUUUUAGCUCCUAAAUUUGGUCUAGAAGAUUUUUUUCAGUUUCACACAACUCAAUAUUAAUUUGUUGGGCGUUACACGCAUCAACCUUUGUGCUCAAAUCUUCAUCUAAGUUAUGUACAGCCAAGCAAAAAUUAUCAAUUUUCAUGUGCAAGUUCAUCUCUCUCCUUAGACCAAUCCUUCACCAAUGUUGUCAGAAGAUAACGUCGUUUCUCAUAUUCCCUUAAUCGUGAAUAUUCUUUCCAAUACCAACCUUUACUCCCAUAUUCAAGUUCAGACCUCCCAGAGUUCAGGUCAUGUCAAGCCCAAAUAUACGGGCCAUAAAAAUAUUUUGUCAACCAAGCAUUUUCAUCAAUAACCUUACCUCCGGAUAUUUCAUCCCCAGAUGUCAUGUUGAGGGAACAAUGAACACGCUAAGAGAAAAAUCAAAUUAUUAUAAAAAUAAAAUAUUUACAAAAAGAGAAAGAUUAAAAAACUUGUAAAGAUAAAAGUUAAAGUCUAAUCUAGAAAAAUAAUUAAUUCCUAAGUCCCCGGCAACGGCGCCAAAAACUUAUUGCGACCAAACACACACACACAAGUAUACGCGGUCGUCAAGUAAUAAAGUGACUAAAAGUCAGAUGUCGAUCCCACGAGUACUUGUGAUUAACUAUAGACUAAAUUAGACUAUCCUAAUUAUCUAUAAAAGAAUUAAACCAAGAAGUAUUUGAUUCUAAACUAAUGAAAAUAAAUAAAAACAAAUAAUGAACUCUGGAUAGAGAAAGAGCAGAUUUUUAUGAUAUCAAUUUGAACUCUGGACAGAAAAGAGCAGAUUUUUAUGAUAUCAAUGUAAUGAAAAUGAUCUAGGGUUAUGGACUAUCUAACAAUCCUAUUGUAUUCUUCAAUUGAAUUGACUAACUAAUUUAUCUAGUUUAUUGGUUGACAGGGUUAAUAUUGCUCAUAAGAAUCUGUCGAAAUGGACUAUCUAACAAUCCUAUUGUAUUCUUCAAUUGAAUUGACUAACUAAUUUAUCUAGUUUAUUGGUUGAUAGGGUUAAUAUUGCUCAUAAGAAUCGGUCGAGUUCUUACUCGCCUAUUCAAACUAACCUAACGCCUAUAUGUCUAUGUAGUUAGAAUUAACGAGAAUGCAUUUAUAAUUCCAGUAAAUCAACCAAGCAAGGCAAUUAGGUAUAUGUCUAUCCUAGUUGCUAAUUUGUUCUCUGAGGCCCAGGUUUAAGAACUUGCUCUAUUCAAUCCUAUAUGUAAUCUAGAAUUCCCACUUUCGAGUUCAACUGUAGAUUUGUAGAUAGUAUUCGAUGGGUGUUCAAGUAAUCAAAUAAUUAAGUGCAGGAUUGAAUAAAUAUACCAAUAUGAUAAAUCAAGAAAUCAAAAUCAAUAUUCGAAUAACAACAAUCAUGAAAGAACCACAACCCUAGAACGUGAAGUUUAGCUACAAUAGACAUGGUAGAAAUAGGUGUUAUCAAAGGCGAAAAGCGCAUAAAAGCUCUAAGGUCCUUUGGAGCUUUAAGCGCAAAGCGCAAAUAAAGCGUGGGCUUUAAUGAAAAAAGCGCAAUGGGAAAAAAGUAAAAAUAUGCAUGUAGUCCAAGACGAAUCAUUAUAAGCAUAAAUAACAAAUAUAUGGACAAAGAAAUUGAAAAAAAUCAUUAUAAAGUGAAAUAUCAAUUGUUUAAGGUCGCAUUUUCAGGAUUACACUUAUUAGCAAUGAAAAGUAUACCUUAGUGCUUUGAUGCGACACUAAAGCACCCAGAAAGCGAGGCAAAGUGCUCAACGUGUUUUGAGCCUAGCUUCAGGGCUUAAGCGCGCCUUUGACAACACUGUAGAAAAACAAAAAAUCAUACAAAUAAAC
rnacentral:lncRNA from 1 species